CCGGCGCGGUGUUUAGACUUUACUGAUGUCGUGGCGCUCUGAGGCAAAAAGUUGUUUCUCUGAGGAGCCUUAGGACUGAAGCCGAGGUUGGGUGACCCUGGCCCUUUCCUACCCACUCUUCCUUGCCCUCCUUCCCCUCUCGUGGCAGGAUGAGGCGUGCAGGCCUGGGUGAUGGAGCACCUCCUGGCGGCUAUGGGAACUAUGGUUAUGCCAAUAGUGGAUAUAAUGCUUGUGAAGAAGAGAAUGACAGACUCACUGAAAGUCUCAGAAGCAAAGUAACAGCUAUAAAAUCUCUUUCCAUUGAGAUAGGCCAUGAAGUCAAAAAUCAAAAUAAACUGUUAGCUGAAAUGGUAAAACCAUGGGAAGACUGAAGAUUUUGUCCAGAGGGAGCCAAACGAAAUUGCUAUGCUAUAUGAUGCUGUUUUCAUUGUUUGUCUUUUUUGUCAUUUAUUGGAUUAUUAAACUGAGGUGAUGCAAGUUAGUGUGGGCUUUGAAUUUAUUGCAGUUAAUGUCUUGGGGAACCACUUUGAUAACCAGCAUCUCAACAUUCCUAAUGGUCUUCUCCAUUGAAGAUUAGUAGAAUUUUCCUCUUUCAGAAAUCAUACUAUACCAUGUAAUGUUUUGAAUACUGCUCCUUACUGACUGACUCAUUAUGACUCCUAUUUUAAGGGGUAUUUAAUUUUCUUGAA
rnacentral:lncRNA from 1 species